UGAGCUUCACAGACAUUGCGUUUUGUUACAAAUUGAUAUUUGGCAACCCUGCAUCGAGCAAGUCGGUCAGCACUAUUUUUCCAGCUGCAUUUGCUCACUUCACGUGUCCGUGUCAUAUUUUGAUCAUUCUAGCAAUGUUUCAAACCCUCCACCAGCAAAAGGAUUACUACAUGCUGAAGGCUCAGGAACCCCAAUUCUACCAAGCUUUCCAUCUGGAGUGGAGAUCUUUGGAAGAAGCAAGGUGAUGGGUCCUGUGCACUCUCAUCUGAGCUUCGUGGGAUGGAGGAAUCAUCGGAGGAGCCCAGAGAAGACUUGGGCUGAUGCUUCACAAAGUGAGAAUGGUGAUUGAGUUUACGAGCCCGCUGAAGAUCUGGAAACCAUGAAUUAUGAGGUCAUUUUGAAGAAGCUGGGGAUGAUUUAUGCCGAGGAGAGAAGGCUCAGCUUUUGCAUGCAUCGCAAACACCAUCUGUUAUAACCCGAGACACACACACGGCAUGGAAUUAGGAAUAGAAGCCAGUGUUGCAGCUGGACAUGGCAGAGGAAAUUGAUAGAACCACCACUUCCUCUGCAGGACUGACAUGGUGAAUGGGGCAUCUGGGGUUUGUCUGAGCUUUUGCAUUCAUCAAUUAAAGAUCUCUUUUGGCUGCUGCAGAGCCAUUGCCUAUUUGAUUACAAAACUUGCCUUGAAGAAAACAAGUAGCUGCUUCUUAGUGCAGGAGGAAGUCUAACCUGGGGGCUAUUUCAAGAGGCCUGAGAAUUCCUUGGUCAAGAAGACUAGGUCUAGAUGCAGGAGGCAUGGCUCUCUGUCUCCACCAUCAAAUUUCUCCAGAGGGGCCCCAUGGGGCCACUGAGCUGGCAGACUCGUCCUCUCCCCAGCUGGUCAUAAGAAGCUCUUGGCCUCUCUAUUGCAAUCUCACCUUUUGUGCACAUGAUCUUUGCAGCAUUCCAAGAAGCAGGGAAGACUCUACUGUCUACUGCUAUUCAGGAGAAAACAGAGGCUCAGGGAUGAGGUGAGCCUGAAUUCUAAAUUGGACAAGAUGGUUCUUUGGGACCUGAGUCCACCAUCUUCUCAGUCUGCCGGCUUUCUGAAUAAAGUCGCUGUUCCUUGCCCCAGCAACUCGUCUCUCGAUUUAUUGGCCUGUCGUGUGGCAAGCAGUAGGAGCUUGGACUCGGUAACGGCAUCUGUGUGGACUUCGUCUGCUUUACAGCAUACUCCUCAGGAUGCUUCCCAUAAGCCAACACUGAAGAGGCUGGUGCAGCAGAGCAAGAAUAAAGGAAAGAUGUGCAGGACAGCAGUAAAGAGCCUAAAACCUGGGCUCUAGUCACUGCUGUGCCCCUUAUGAUAGAGGGGAGGGAGUAAAGUCAAACAUUGCCUCGUUCUGGUCAGCCUGGAGAGGAUAUAUGUGUUAAUUUCUUCCUUCCUGCAGUCAUUCACAGGUGGGCCUGCUCAGGAAGUUUCCUGUGAACUAAAAAAAGGGGAACAUCAAGGGAAACCCCCUUCAUCAUAUCCCACCAAAGUGGCCUCCAUUCCAUUCGCCUUUGGCCCACAGGCUGGAAACCUUGUUUAUUUAUAGUAAGUAUAGACAAGGAAGAGAAGUGAAGGAAGCGCUUCAAAUGUUUGCCUUCAAGUUCUUGUAGGAGGAAGUGAUCACUUUUUCACGCAGGACUCUUGGAAGCAAAGAGUUUAGUGACAAAAGAAUACUAUGCUUUUGCAUAAUCGGAUGGGAAAAAUAAUGUUGUUGCCUCCACCUCUUUUCUGCAAUUAGCCUGUGAAGAGUUGAGAGCUCAGGUUAAGAUGUACCAUCAUUUAGAUUUGGCAGAUGAAAUCACGUGACUCUAGACUUCAUUUGAAAAGAAAGUUUCCUUUGAUUAGGGGCAGAAAGCCCUCAGUCCUUCAUCUGCAGUGAUUUACAGAACUAAAAUGAAAGUCAGGUGGGCAGCAUUUUUGGUUCUUUUGAUGGUUCUUGUUUAAACACCCAAUACCCAUUUCAGAGCUUUUAACACUCACUUUGUAGGUCGAAAUGGCCUCUCGUCUGCUACGAAUCCUAAAUUAGUAGGCGUGUGUCUGACCAAGAUUUGAGGGACCACAUUUACUUUGAGUAAAUAUUCGCCUUUCAUAUUCGAUUUCUUAUUAAAUGGUGUUUCAGAAACUGUGCUAUACAAUAUCCCUAU